rnacentral:lncRNA from 1 species
GCUUUGCUGAGCUAAGCUUUGAUUCUGUCAGCAUAAUUUAUCUAACUUUAUCGCAUGCGAUAAUAUCAUUCGCUGCUUGUAAUUAUUUUGUGUUCAGCUGCAACUCCCAGCGCCACUACAACACCCCCCUGCUAAAUCACACUUUACAUGGUGACUGCAUGGAAAGAGUGAUCCGCGCUGGAAUUACUUUAAUCAUUAUUGCCUCAAAUCUUUUGCGUGAUAUUUUCCAACUAAACGACCUUGCAAAUCCUCAAUUUCGUAGUAGCUAUUACCCAAUCUAGCUCUCACUCUUGCCUUGAUGAAACUUGGAGCCAGUUUGGCGUUGAAGCCUUUUGCAAAAUUACUUUGUUGAAAGUUACGACGAAAUAAUUC